AAUGAACGUUGGCGGCAUGGAUUAGGCAUGCAAGUCGAGCGGGCGUAGCAAUACGUCAGCGGCGUAAGGGACAGGAACACGUAGAUUACCUGCCCUCGGGUCUGGGAUAGCCACGGGAAACUGUGGGUAAUACCAGAUGAUAUCUCCGGAUCAAAGGUGUGAUUCCGCCCGAGGAUGGGUCUGCGUCCUAUUAGCUAGUUGGUGAGGUAAUGGCUCACCAAGGCGAUGAUGGGUAGCAGGUGUGAGAGCACGACCUGCGUCAUUGGGACUGAGACACUGCCCAGACCCCUACGGGUGGCUGCAGUCGAGAAUUUUUGGCAAUGGGCGAAAGCCUGACCAAGCGAUGCCGCGUGCGGGAUGAAGGCCUUCGGGUUGUAAACCGCUGUCAGUGAGGAGGAAAGCUUUGUGAAGAGCAAGGCUUGACCUAUCCGCAGAGGAAGUGUGGGCUAAGUUCGUGCCAGCCGCCGCCGUAA
rnacentral:rRNA from 1 species